rnacentral:rRNA from 1 species
GAUGAACGCUGGCGGCGUGCCUAAUACAUGCAAGUCGAGCGAACAGAUGAGGCGCUUGCUCCUCUGACGUUUGCGGCGCACGGGUGAGUAACACGUGGAUAACCUACCUAUAAGACUGGUAAAUUUUCGGGAAACCGGAGCUAAUCCCGUAUAAUCUCUUGCACCGUAUGGUUCAUUAGUAAAAGACGGUUUUGCUGGAUCUUAUAGAUGCAUCUCGGCCGCAUGAGCUAGUUGGUAGGGUAAAGGCUUAUCAAGGCAACGAUGCGUAGACGACGUGAGAGACUGGUCGCCCGCACGGGAGCGGAGACGCGGUCAAGGCGCCUACGGGAGGCAGCAGUAGGGUAGCUUACGCAGUGGUCGAAAGCCUGACGGAGCAACGCGGCGUGAGAGAUGAAAGUCUUGGGAUCGUAAAACUCUGUUAUGAGGGAAGAACAAAUGUGUAAGUAGCUAUGCACGUCUUGACGGUACCUAGUCAGAAAGCCACGGCUAACUACGUG